AAAAGUAUUUGAUUUGCCAUGGAACUGCUUGAAAUCAAAGAUAUGGACGAUGGUGCACCACACAAAUCAAAUCAGCAUCACAACUUAAACUGAGGUCUGUUUAUGAUCAGUCUGAAACUCGACUCGAUAGGCUGAAUAUACACAAUGAAACACGGGUUUCAGUGAGAUUCUCAGAUUCACAUAGGAAGUGCUUGGAACUUUAACUGAAAAAAGGAUCAAAGUGGAACAUGAACUGAGAAACAUUCUCAAAGUUCAGAUUGGGCACGCUAUUUUGCUGCUGUUGAAAGCUGCUAGUAUAAUCAUAUAUAUCGCCGCAUACAGAGCCGAGGGACAAAAACAAUAACUAAAAUAGGGGAUUCCAUCCAGUGAUUAGCUUUCAAGGGGAUAAAUACCUCUGCUGUAGCCCCUGUAGGCGAUAUUGGACGGCUCGACCAAUGUUCUUGUUCCUCCAGCGAACUCGGUGCUUCUUUCCUCCGGCGAACUUGGCGGCGACAUUGGACGCUUCAUGCAAUUUUCGACGGAACUUGAUCGAGAUCUGCUACAACUGCAGCACUUCAUACUUGUAUCUCAAUUAAAUUACCCAUCUACUACAUAUGUAUACCUGUCAAUGCAAAUUGUCUUCAGAUUAGCAGUGCGACAAUGCUACUUAUUGAUGUAAUAGGCGCACUUGAGAAAUUAAGGUUGAUGUUUCAACUUCUUACCAGGCUAUAGUUUCCGCAUGCAGACAUAAGUGAUUAAGCUCAGGGAAAACCAUGGUAGUGGUACCUUGUUUGAUCCUAGAACUCCGGAACAACACCAUGGGGCAGUCAUGCAGAUCGUAUGGCAAGUGUCAUGGAGGUUGUAAGGCGAGCGUGAAGCCACGAACAACCCCAUGAUUGAGCUGCAGAGAAGGGUGGACUCUGAUCCUACAGCUCCCGCUUUGCUGAUUGUUGAUUUCUGAUUAAAUUAGAAGAUGGGAGAAGAGUAGCAUGGUCAAACCUUUAGAUUGUAUGGCAUGUGCCGAGAAGGCCAGCCAUCCUUCUUCCCCCAUUCUCUUCUCCCUACCUCUCCUCCCG
rnacentral:lncRNA from 1 species